UACAGAGGGUGCGAGCGUUGUCCGGAAUCACUGGGCGUAAAGGGCGCGUAGGCGGCUUCUUAAGCGUGUCGUGAAAGCGCGGGGCUCAACCCCGCGUCGGCGAUGCGAACUGGGGAGCUGGAGCACGUCAGAGGCAGGCGGAAUUCCAGGUGUAGCGGUGAAAUGCGUAGAUAUCUGGAGGAACACCGGUGGCGAAGGCGGCAUCCUGGACCAAUUCUGACGCUGAGGAGCGAAAGCCAGGGGAGCAAACGGG
rnacentral:rRNA from 1 species